UGGCACCUUGAUGUCGGCUCAUCACAUCCUGGGGCUGUAGCCGGUCCCAAGGGUUUGGCUGUUCGCCAAUUAAAGUGGUACGUGAGCUGGGUUUAAAACGUCGCGAGACAGUUUGGUCCCUAUCUGCCGUGGGCGUUGGAAAUUUGAAGGGGGCUGCUCCUAGUACGAGAGGACCGGAGUGGACGAACCUCUGGUGUUCCGGUUGUCACGCCAGUGGCAUUGCCGGGUAGCUAUGUUCGGAAGAGAUAACCGCUGAAAGCAUCUAAGCGGGAAACUUGCCUCAAGAUGAGAUCUCACUGGAGCCUUGAGCUCCCUGAAGGGCCGUCGAAGACUACGACGUUGAUAGGUUGGGUGUGUAAGCGCUGUGAGGCGUUGAGCUAACCAAUACUAAUUGCCCGUGAGGCUUGACC
rnacentral:rRNA from 1 species